rnacentral:lncRNA from 1 species
GUCCUGGGAAACGGGGCGCGGCCGGAAAGGCGGCCGCCCUCUCGCCCGUCACGCAACGCACGUUCGUGGGGAACCUGGCGCUAAACCAUUCGUAGACGAACUGCUUCCGGGUCGGGGUUUGGUUGGUAGCAGAGCAGCUCCCUCGCUGCGAUCUAUUGAAAGUCAGAUCUCCACACAAGGGUUUGUAAAACAAAAAAAAAAACCAUCAGAGCCCCGUGGCUGACAGAUGCUUUAAAGUUACCUUGAUGCUGAACAUCCCCUGAAGCAACAGGACUGCAUGAGCUUGGUGUGGCUGAGCCCAUCUCCUAAUGAAGAUCCAGAAAAGAAAGACACUCAGAAAGCCAGGAAAGUGGAAGAAUUUUUUUUUUCAGCCAGCCAGCCACCUGACAGUAAUCAAAAUCUGUAAAGAACAGGAUGUGGA